CAUCUAAAAGGGGAGGGAAAGCUCCAUUUCCAGGAUAGAAGGCAUAAUAUUGAAAUGAUCCAUCACAGUUGAUGUACCCAGAUGGCUUUACGAAAGAGAGACAGGGAAUGGAUUGCCCAGUUCACUGCAUUUAAAGCAACAAAGCUGAGAAGUAAAUCCUCAUGCUAUUGGAUCCAGUUUCCUGUACAGGAGAUACACUGGAUCUACUGCUUAAAAAAAAAAAAAAGAAGUAAAAUAAAAAUUGAGGGUUGUACAAAAGACUUCUGCAUAUUAUAUAGUACAGUACACCUCCAAUGAACAGGACAAAGACCAGGUGUGUAGAUGGACAAAGAAAGAAAGAGUUAAUCUUUAGUGCCUGAACUAAAACGGAAACUGAACUGACCUUGGCAGAGAGCAAGCACUGGUCAAGCACACUGGUACCCAGGUUACACGUUCACGCAUUCUCCUUUUCAUCAAGUGAAAUGGUGACAUGCUCUGGGAUCCCUCCGGAUGAAAGCUGCUACGGAACCCUGGAAAAACUGUCACUACUGCCUUGUCAUGCUUCAUGUGCUUCUUCAGUGAAAUACCUUUAAAGAAGCAUCCCACUUCUCUGGGGGUUCCCACUGGUUCACGGUGCAAUGAUGUGAAGCUGCAACACAAUAAAGUUUUGAGAAACAAAACCACACGGCAACUGAUGACCACCAAAAUCACAGAGAGCUCAGGAGAGAAUGAUCGAUAUUUGAAACGUACAUCUCCACCUCCUUCUCUGAGCUGCGAUGCUCGCUAGCAACGGAAAGGCUGUGAUGAGGCUCUGGCGUCAUUGCUCAGAGAUGUGAUUGAUGAUGACUGUGCUGGAGACUGGGAGAAGAUUGGUUUCUGGGGCUGAUUGAUAAAGUCUAUCAUGCAGCGUGAAACAGCUGGGAAGAAAAAUAAUGGGCCAUCUGAUUCUUUCUAACAGUGAAUAUUUACUGAGGGAUUUUCCUGAUUAAUUCGUAAUUAUAUAAUCUUGCUUUUCGAGAUGAAUAUCACUAGGUCUUCCCUUUGUUAACCGAGAUGGUCUGACCAGUUAAUUAAGGCCAAGGUAUGUUUAUGGGAUAUCACUGGAAGCCACAAACGUUUCUUUUGGCUGGAGUGAUGAGCUGAGCUGUUCAGGCAGUCUUGCUUAGCACGAGAAAGACCCAGUCAAAGAACCCAUUUAAGGGGUUCACCUUCCCUGGUAGCAAAGAAACAUGAAUUAAUGAUUGGAUAGGAGACAGAUAAUGGUGGGGUUGAGGUUUCAGUGCAUUUUCAUGUAUAUUUCAUAGACUUGUUUGCUUUUUGAUGUUUAAAGCUCGUUGAUUAUUCUUUUUAAUCCUUUUUUCUAGAUUUUCUUAAGUGGCAGUUGCAGAUUCUGACACAGAGGCUGGAGCAGGUGAGCUGCUCCUCCACAGCUAACAAUGACACGACAGAUGAUCUCUAGACACUGUCUACAUUUGUGACAGGAGCACAUAAGGUUCUUUGAUGUGGCAGGGGAGUCCCCUCAGUGGUAUGCUGGAAGGGACUGGUCACUUUUCAUAGCUGAGAAAUGCAAACUACCACUGAGGAAAAGUGCAAAUGUUGUUGUGUGGUUUAAAUUUACAUUCAUAAUGUAAAAUUCUGCAGAAAAAUCCUAACUGUACACACAAAUACAAUUAAUAUUCCCUGUGUAGCGGUACAAGCGAUUGCUCACCUAACAAUGCCACCCAAAACGUCUCCAAUUGCUUUACUAAUACUCAGUUUGCAGGAGCUGCUUACCACUCAGACAUGAACUUGGCAAUUAGAAAUGGAAACAAAAUUUCCAUUUCGCCCCUGGAUAGGGUGAACUCUGAGCAAACAGAGACUCAGUAGCUGUGUUGUACUCAGCUUUAGAGAUGCAAAAGCAGGAGGAAUUACCAAAAUCAACAAGAAACUAAUCUCUUUAAUCCUGGAAAUUUUUUAAACAAGUUUAAAUAAUUGAUACACUGUCAGAAGCAGCCUGGAUCCAUGGAAGGGAGAUUAAUAUUAAAUGAGAAUGCUUCUCCCUCUCUGUAUGGGAAAGUAUGGCAAAAUCAUGAGUCCUUUGCACACUACAAUUGGCAUAAGGUAAGCAAAGAGCUGGUGAAAUUGCUCCGUUUCCUUCUUCGCUCCAGAUUUCAGACACAAUCUGACCAGCAGGGUUGAGAGGAGAGUCUUUGUCCUUACAGGAGAUAGGAGCCAAGAAAUAUUGGAAACAAAAGGGAAGAGGAAAAAAACUAUCUGAAUGUCUAUGUUAAUAGUGUCCCUCUGCAACCUUGAGGUUUAUGUGUAUUAAGGCU